UACGAAGGGGCUAGCGUUGUUCGGAAUCACUGGGCGUAAAGGGUGCGUAGGCGGGUCUUUAAGUCAGGGGAUGAAAUCCUGGAGCUCAACUCCAGAACUGCCUUUGAUACUGAAGAUCUUGAGUUCGGGAGAGGUGAGUGGAACUGCGAGUGUAGAGGUGAAAUUCGUAGAUAUUCGCAAGAACACCAGUGGCGAAGGCGGCUCACUGGCCCGAGUACUGACGCUGAGGCACGAAAGC
rnacentral:rRNA from 1 species